ensembl:lncRNA
CCUGGUUUUGUUUUGUUGUGUUAGAGACGAGCUGAUUACUGUUCUAAUACAUAAUUACAACAAAUAUUACAUUCAUCUGAGGUUUUUAUCCACAGCGACUGAGAACAAAAAGAAUCAAGAGCUACAAGGGAAAAAGGUCACAAGAGCCACGUGCUCAGUAGACGGCCAAGAACCUUCCUCCUCCAUAACCGGGCCGGGCGGUUCUUCUACCCACAGGUGGCCUCCAGACCAACUUGUUGUGUCUCUACAGCCAGAGACUGGGGACAUCUUAUCG